rnacentral:rRNA from 1 species
AGUGAACGCUGGCGGUAGGCCUAACACAUGCAAGUCGAACGGCAGCACAGUAAGAGCUUGCUCUUACGGGUGGCGAGUGGCGGACGGGUGAGGAAUACAUCGGAAUCUACUUUUUCGUGGGGGAUAACGUAGGGACACUUACGCUAAUACCGCAUACGACCUACGGGUGAAAGCAGUGGAUCUUCGGACCUUGCGCGAUUGAAUGAGCCGAUGUCGGAUUAGCUAGUUGGCGGGGUAAAGGCCCACCAAGGCGACGAUCCGUAGCUGGUCUGAGAGGAUGAUCGGCCACACUGGAACUGAGACACGGUCCAGACUCCUACGGGAGGCGGCAGUGGGGAAUAUUGGACAAUGGGCGAAAGCCUGAUCCAGCAAUACCGCGUGAGUGAAGAAGGCCUUCGGGUUGUAAAGCCCUUUUGUUGGGAAAGAAAAGAAGCAGGUUAAUACCCCGCUGUUCUGACGGUACCCAAAGAAUAAGCACCGGCUAACUUCGUG